UUAUUAUUUAUGGUUGAACCGGGUCAAAAUAUAUAGUGUUAUCAUAGUUCGACGUUGUUUGACCAUAGAUAAUAAAAACAUAUGAUAAUAUAUAAUCUAAUAUAAUAAUUAUUAUAUAUCUACAUAAUUGGAAAUGGUUUAUAAAUUUUGGUGGUACCUAUCUACUGCUGUAGACUAAAAACAUGGUUAGGUUAGAUUAGGUUAGGUUAUGACUACGUUCAAAAAUGGGCCAGCAUCGUUUAUGUGGGCUUGCACUUUUACCAAUGCCA